GCGGCUGUAGCCCAAUUGGUAGAGUAUCGCCCUUCCAAGGCGAAUGUUGCGGGUUCGACUCCCGUCGGCCGCU
rnacentral:tRNA from 1 species